rnacentral:ncRNA from 15 species
GGGGUGGUGGCGCAGUUGGUUAGCGCGUAGGUCUCAUAAUCCUGAGGUCGAGAGUUCGAGCCUCUCUCACCCAA